rnacentral:rRNA from 1 species
CGGGUUGUAAAGUACUUUCAGCAGUGAGGAAGGUGGGUAUGUUAAUAGCAUACUCAUUUUGACGUUUAGCUGCAGAAGAAGCACCGGCUAACUCCGUGCCAGCAGCCGCGGUAAUACGGAGGGUGCGAGCGUUAAUCGGAAUUACUGGGCGUAAAGCGCAUGCAGGUGGUUUGUUAAGUCAGAUGUGAAAGCCCGGGGCUCAACCUCGGAAUUGCAUUUGAAACUGGCAAACUAGAGUACUGUAGAGGGGGUAGAAUUUCAGGUGUAGCGGUGAAAUGCGUAGAGAUCUGAAGGAAUACCGGUGGCGAAGGCGGCCCCCUGGACAGAUACUGACACUCAGAUGCGAAAGCGUGGGGAGCAAACAGGAUUAGAUACCCUGGUAG